GGGUUGUGAGGUUAAGCGACUAAGCGUACACGGUGGAUGCCCUGGCAGUCAGAGGCGAUGAAGGACGUGCUAAUCUGCGAUAAGCGCCGGUAAGGUGAUAUGAACCGUUAUAACCGGCGAUUUCCGAAUGGGGAAACCCAGUGUGACUCGUCACACUAUCAUUAACUGAAUCCAUAGGUUAAUGAGGCGAACCGGGGGAACUGAAACAUCUAAGUACCCCGAGGAAAAGAAAUCAACCGAGAUUCCCCCAGUAGCGGCGAGCGAACGGGGAGGAGCCCAGAGCCUGAAUCAGCAUGUGUGUUAGUGGAAGCGUCUGGAAAGGCGCGCGAUACAGGGUGACAGCCCCGUACACAAAAGCGCAUGUGCUGUGAGCUCGAUGAGUAGGGCGGGACACGUGGUAUCCUGUCUGAAUAUGGGGGGACCAUCCUCCAAGGCUAAAUACUCCUGACUGACCGAUAGUGAACCAGUACCGUGAGGGAAAGGCGAAAAGAACCCCGGCGAGGGGAGUGAAAAAGAACCUGAAACCGUGUACGUACAAGCAGUGGGAGCACCCUUUGGGGUGUGACUGCGUACCUUUUGUAUAAUGGGUCAGCGACUUAUAUUCUGUAGCAAGGUUAACCGAAUAGGGGAGCCGGAGGGAAACCGAGUCUUAAUUGGGCGUUAAGUUGCAGGGUAUAGACCCGAAACCCGGUGAUCUAGCCAUGGGCAGGUUGAAGGUUGGGUAACACUAACUGGAGGACCGAACCGACUAAUGUUGAAAAAUUAGCGGAUGACCUGUGGCUGGGGGUGAAAGGCCAAUCAAACCGGGAGAUAGCUGGUUCUCCCCGAAAGCUAUUUAGGUAGCGCCUCGUGAAUUCAUCUCCGGGGGUAGAGCACUGUUUCGGCUAGGGGGCCAUCCCGGCUUACCAACCCGAUGCAAACUGCGAAUACCGGAGAAUGUUAUCACGGGAGACACACGGCGGGUGCUAACGUCCGUCGUGAAGAGGGAAACAACCCAGACCGCCAGCUAAGGUCCCAAAGUCAUGGUUAAGUGGGAAACGAUGUGGGAAGGCCCAGACAGCCAGGAUGUUGGCUUAGAAGCAGCCAUCAUUUAAAGAAAGCGUAAUAGCUCACUGGUCGAGUCGGCCUGCGCGGAAGAUGUAACGGGGCUAAACCAUGCACCGAAG
rnacentral:rRNA from 1 species